GCAGGGGGCAACGGCAGAGGACAGCUUGUGUUCACAGCAAAUAAUCUACUACUGGGAGCUUUGCAUUUGGCGUGUUUGGCACAGACACUACAUUCAGAAUGAUAAUUGAUCUGAGAUCGGAUAUGAGGAUAAUGCAGAGACCCACAGACCUGGAGGCACGAUGCUGACUUAGCUGGCUGUGCUCAUCAGUCCUGCUAUAGGGCAGGACUCUAACAUCAGGGGUCUGGACAGGAGGAUCCACACACCCACUGAUGGUAAUGUUUCCUUCCCACUGACUGAAAAAAAGGUUUAACACAAAACAGCCAGCUGGGGAUGAAAUCAGAGACAGUGCGCAUGCUCGCUCACAGGUCUGUAUGACUGAACCACACCCUAAUUCCUAAGAGAUUCUAGGUAAGUGUUCUCCAGCUCACUCUCUCUGAGCAUUCCCCACCCCAACCCUCACUGGAGAAUUCUAGGCAGGGGUUCUACCCCUGAACCAUGCAUGCCCCAACCCUCUCACGAUUUAUUUGGUUAAGAAAAAGUACACUUCUUUUUAGCUCUCUAGCCUGCCCUUCUCUUCCAUGUGGUGAAAUAGCAGGAAGACCCUUGCUGGGUGCUAUUGCUCUAGACUCCAAAACCACUGGCCAGACAAAUCUCUCUCUGUCUCUGUCUUGUUCCAGGAUAGCAGGGCUAUAUAGAGAAACCCUAUCUCAAAAAUAAAACAACAACAACAAAAAGACUAAGGAUACAUUGGAAAUUUUCUGACAGAGAGGUCAUGAAGUUUAAGAUAUGAAUGACUACAUGCUGCAAAUAUUUUCAAUUAAAAUUCAUCCUUUAAUUUUUAUUUUUAUUUCAUAUUUAAAUAAUACUUUUUAUUUAUUAGUUAUUAAAUAAAAAUACCCUUUUAUUUUCCCCCUUUGAGACAGGGUCUCUCUGUGUAGCCUUGGCAGGCCUGGAGCUCAGUAGCCAAGAACAGCUUCGGACUUCUGAAAGUCCUGCCUCCGCCUCCCAAGCACGAGGAUCACAGCUGUGUACCGCCAUAUCCUUUCCUGGCUGCUGGACGUGGAAUCCAGGGCUUCAUAUCCACUAGCCAAGUGAUCUACCAGCUGAGGCACUGAGCCAGCCCUUAUAACAUUCAAUAUGUUUAUCAGCCUGGCAUGGUGGGGAUGUCACUGACCCCUGCCUCAAAUGUUCUGAUGUCAAGUUAAUAAAAGUCUGACAACUGUAA